AGCUCUCUGUCUGUGGUGCCAGCGACUCAGGAAGAUGAGGAAUUCCGAGGUAUCCAGGAGGAUUCCGCUCGUGGAGCGCGAAGUGUUGUGGGUUGCUUGGCCUGCGAAGCACUUGUCGAUCUUUUGGAACACGAAAUAGGCACCGACAGAUCCAGAGACCGCAUCAAGAACGCCCUGAACGGUGCAUGCGGUCGCAUUGGACGCUUCUCCGGAGACUGUGAGAGCUUGGU